rnacentral:lncRNA from 1 species
GCCUCAGCCUUCCAAAGUGCUGGGAUUGCAGGCGUGAGCCACAGAGCCCGGCAGGACCAUGAGUUUUAUUCUUGACUCAACCCCCACCACACUGUGCAACCGGGGGCAGGUCCCUUCCCCUGUCAGUGUCUCUGUUUUUUAUUUAUGUUUUUGUUUUGAGACAGAGUCUUGCUCUGUCGCCCAGGCUGGAGUGCAAUGGCACAGUCUCAGCUCACUGCAACCUCCACCUCCCAGGUUCAAGCGAUUCUCCUGCCUCAGCCUCCUGAGUAACUGGGAUUACAGAUAAACAAGUAUCAGCCCUACGGCGGGCUCGUUCCUCCUCCUCUUACUGUAGGGGAUGCCCGACCUGUAUUUCCACCACUUUACUUCCUUAAUAAAGGUGAUUUCACUUUGCACUAUGGACUUGUUCUCAAUUCUUUUUUUUCUUUCUCUUGAGACAGAGCCCCACACUGUUGCCCGAGCUGGAGUGCAAUGGCUCACUGCAACCUCCGCCUCCCGGGUUCAAGCGAUUCUCCUGCCUCUGCCUCCCAAGUAGCUGAGAUUAUAGGUGCCUGCCACCAUGCCCAGCUAAUUUUUUGUAUUUUUAGUAGAGAUGGGGUUUUACUAUGUUGGCCAGGCUGGUCUUGAACUCCUGACCUCAUGGUCCACCUCCCUCGGCCUCCCAAAGUGCUGGGAUUACAGGUGUGAGCGAAUGCACCUGACCUCAUUCUGAAUUCUUUCUUGUACGAGAUCCAAGAACCCUCUCUUAGGGUCUGGAUUGGGACCCUUCUGGUAACAAUUCUAGCAGAGUAGAUUUCAACCUCAGCUGUGUGCUGCAAUCACCUGGCAAGUUGUAAAACCCCUGUUGUCUAACCCCCGAGUUUCUGUGGUAAUUGGCCUGGGGUGCCAACUACUGGGGCAGGGGAUUCUAAUGUGUUAAGUUGGGAACCAGUGGCCUGUCUGAAGGCUGGAGUCUCCUCAGAGGCGACAAGGAAGGAGGCCAAACAGGUCAGAGGCCGACCAGCUCUGUCCAGGGGACAAACAGGCCAUGUUCUGGGUAGCAUGGGCAGGGUGCCCAGAAAGGACUGCUUGGUAGUGAAGCAAGGAUUACCCUCAC